rnacentral:rRNA from 1 species
GAUCGGCCCGCGUCUGAUUAGCUAGUUGGUGAGGUAACGGCUCACCAAGGCGACGAUCAGUAGCUGGUCUGAGAGGAUGAUCAGCCACAUUGGGACUGAGACACGGCCCAAACUCCUACGGGAGGCAGCAGUGGGGAAUAUUGGACAAUGGGCGCAAGCCUGAUCCAGCCAUGCCGCGUGAGUGAUGAAGGCCCUAGGGUUGUAAAGCUCUUUUGUGCGGGAAGAUAAUGACGGUACCGCAAGAAUAAGCCCCGGCUAACUUCGUGCCAGCAGCCGCGGUAAUACGAAGGGGGCUAGCGUUGCUCGGAAUCACUGGGCGUAAAGGGUGCGUAGGCGGGUCUUUAAGUCAGGGGUGAAAUCCUGGAGCUCAACUCCAGAACUGCCUUUGAUACUGAGGAUCUUGAGUUCGGGAGAGGUGAGUGGAACUGCGAGUGUAGAGGUGAAAUUCGUAGAUAUUCGCAAG